UGGGGGAUCGUCUAGCGGCAGGACGCCAGGUUCUGGCCCUGGUAACCUAGGUUCGAAUCCUAGUCCCCCAGCCA
rnacentral:tRNA from 1 species